CGGGGCGUGGCGCAGUCCGGCUAGCGCGCUUCAAUGGGGUUGAAGAGGUCGAAGGUUCAAAUCCUUUCGCCCCGA
rnacentral:tRNA from 1 species